rnacentral:misc_RNA from 1 species
GUCCUCUGCUUCCAAAUCUUUGCUUCUUCAUUGGAUCCUUCGAUUUGCAUCUGCUCCCCUCUUUUUCUCCACGCUAAGAAAACGUCCUGUCGUUUUCACCCAAAUUCUCUACCUACCCCUCUUACAGAUUCCUCUAUUUCUACCCGUUUACGUAACUAUCUCUGUUUGUAUGUGGUUGGUGACGUGAUUCUAAAGUAUUGAUUCUUUGAUAGUGAUUUAGAUCCUAUCUGCUGCUUGUAUAGUACCUCUUUCUCUUUUAAUCUUUAAUCAAAAUCCCUG